GCCGGGGUGGCGGAAUAGGUAGACGCGUUGGUCUCAAAAACCAAUCUCCUUAGGGAGGUGAGGGUUCGAGCCCCUCUCCCGGUA
rnacentral:tRNA from 1 species